AUAUUUACCUGGACGGGGUCCAUGGGCGAUCAACAAGGUCCAUGACCUAGGUUAGUGUCCUCCAUUGUACUUUCGACGGGUGCCAGCCUAGGGGACGGAAGGGCUAACCUCAGCUUAUACCCUUUGCUACUUCUCCCAUUUGAC
rnacentral:snRNA from 10 species